CGGCACUUCCCCUUUCUCCUCCGCCCUCGAAAUUCCUGCUAUUUCGAACAGUUGCCAACACAACGUUUUUCCAGGGCCCAGCAUCACCUGGCAUUGAAGAGGGACCCUGAGGGAAGGAAUAAGAACACUGAGACUGGAGAGUACAUUGUCCGAGGUCUUAGUUACAACAAAGAGGAAUUCAACUCAAAAUUAAACAAACAAACAAAAGAAGGAGGAGGAGGGGGAAAAGAAAGAAAGAGAAAAACCCAUGUACUGGAUCAGGGUCCCCAAGGAUGGUCUCAUUGGCUGGAUUGGGGUCACAUGCCCAUGCCUGGAAUCUGCACCAAGACUGGGAGAAGGCAGGGCCUACAGAGAAGAGUCAGAAUGCUGAGACCAAAGAUGGGAAGGUGAUUCU